UACGUAGGGGGCAAGCGUUGUCCGGAUUUAUUGGGCGUAAAGAGCGUGUAGGCGGCCUUACAGGUCAGCUGUGAAAACUCGAGGCUCAACCUCGAGACGUCGGUUGAAACCGUAAGGCUAGAGUCCGGAAGAGGAGAGUGGAAUUCCCGGUGUAGCGGUGAAAUGCGUAGAUAUCGAGAGGAACACCUGCGGCGAAGGCGGGUUGCUGGGCUGACACUGACGCUGAACUGCGAAAGCUAGGGGAGCGAACGGG
rnacentral:rRNA from 1 species